AUCUCCAAGGGGGCCCAAUGGGAAGCGCUGGGGCUGUUUAAGAUUCAAACUGGCAGCCGACAAGGGGGGGGGACGGACCGUAGGAAACAGGGCAUGGAAUGGCGGCAGCUUAGCGCGCGCGCGCUCCACCCCCCCCCCCCUUCAAACGCUGCCCGGGAAAUGCUUUCGUACGUCUGCAUCUUCUCCGCUAAAUCUGAGCGCUGCUCCCGCCAGACCCUCACCAGAGGGAGCCUCCCGCUGUCCCGCACGCGCCCCGGAGCCCUCCCAUCGCUGUUAACUUCCCAGACUUCACCGCCACGCCCCAGCAGCCCGCUCCCUGCCGCCUGUCCUGCUUAUGCCCACCUCCUGCUCCUGGACCUCACGCGCCCUGCUGAAGUUCACUCCUUUUCGCCUGACUGAGAGCGAAGGACGUUGGGAGUAGCUCCUGCUGCUGGCCGCCGUGGGAGACUCUGGUAUAUGUGCCCCGCUUCCCUUUCCUAGGGCUGAGAGACCUUCAGACCAUAGCCCCCAGGGCCUGGGUUGCCUCUGACCGGGUGAAGUGGAGCAUGUGACGCUCAACUGGUUUACUCCUCGCUGGUGCUGGAAAGGACUGGCCUUUACUCUGCCCUAGGCCCAGAGUGAUGCAUAUGGACAGAAGGUGCACCAGGUGAUCCUGCACUUGCAGCUGGGAGCUGCCCUUGACCAACCAGUCAUCCAGAUGGGGAAGAUCUAGACCCCCCGGUGUCUGAGGAAAGAACUCCAGGAAGAUGAGAGAUCAGCAUCUUCAAAGACCCAUUGUCUUUCCUAAUGGCUCAUCCAGGCUGAUUGCAUACUGUCUGACCCAAGGUGGGACCACAGCCCUGCUCCCCUCCACACACGUCUAUGGAGUGGGACUAAAACAGCAGCAGGAAUAAAUUGAACCCAAUGAAGAGGUAUAACUACAGGUGUGCUGAAGAAUUCCUCCCGAAGCUCCCAUAGGCUUCAUAUGGAAUAAAAGCUACAGCACUCCCAAAGUUGGAUACAGAGAUCAGCCUUAAACAAAUGUGGUGGGGAAGAGAGUUUAUUGUUGCAGAGGAUCAGGAGUGAUAUUGCCUAGCCACCUGGACCCCAGACAACAGCCUGGACACUUUGGAACUUAGCAACUGGUGAUCCAAAGGCCCUCCCCAGCUUGGAAGCCAGCUGGUUUUGGCCAGUGGAAGAACAAAGGGCUGAAGAGAGCGAGCUCAGAUGAUCUGUUUGCCCAGGAAAGAAGACAAAGGAGGGACUUUUGAGAAGUGAUAUAGUGUGGUCAGCAGGAAGGAGGAUCGAUUCCAGACUGGGAACAAAGAGGGGUCUCAGCCCACUUAGACUGGGGACAGACCCAGCUGGACUAUGCUAUAACUUUCUAUUCUUGAGGCUAUCAUAGAAUCAUCAGGGGCAUACAGAGCCAAGAAAGAGCACUGGAUCAUAGGGUCACUACCGGCGCUAAAUAUAACAACAACAACAAAAGUUUGUGCAAUUCACUUUCAUGAAUUUUUAGUCCCCUGAAUAAGACAUUCUAUUAUACUUGAUGUCUAUGAACGUAGCUGUACGUUAAAUGGACAAAAUCUAGCAUGCACAGGCUCUUUGCUUUUACCUGUAGGAUGGUCAGCCCACUGGGGCAAUGGGCACAGAAUAAUCAAUGCAGGGAGAUUCAAGGCAGGGAAGGAAAAAGGAUGUAUUAACAGAAAGAGCUUAGACCUUAUAAUUACGAACUUUGCACAACCAAAUCAUACCUGCUC